UACAGAGGUCUCAAGCGUUGUUCGGAUUCAUUGGGCGUAAAGGGUGCGUAGGCGGCGCGGUAAGUCGGGUGUGAAAUCUCGGAGCUUAACUCCGAAACUGCAUUCGAUACUGCCGUGCUUGAGGACUGGAGAGGAGACUGGAAUUUACGGUGUAGCGGUGAAAUGCGUAGAUAUCGUAAGGAAGACCAGUGGCGAAGGCGGGUCUCUGGACCAGUUCCUGACGCUGAGGCACGAAGGUCAGGGGAGCAAACGGG
rnacentral:rRNA from 1 species